AACACUUUAAACUUGACACCAUUCUGAUUCAGGGAAGCGUUACGGCGUGGUAGGAAAACGAUUAAGAAACGAAUAUUGCAUCAAAAGUUAAAGAUGAGCUACGGUCGCCCACCACCGGAUACCGAUAGUAUGGUAUCUUUGAAAGUUGACAAUCUUACUUACAGAACCACACCCGAAGAUUUACGGAGAGCUUUCCAAAAAUACGGUGAAGUUGGAGAUGUAUACAUUCCCAGAGACAGAUUUACACGAGAAAGUAGAGGGUUUGCUUUUGUUCGAUACUUUGAUAAGCGGGAUGCAGAGGAUGCUUUAGAUGCUAUGGAUGGUACAAUCAUGGAUGGCAGAGAACUACGAGUACAGAUGGCACGAUAUGGCAGGCCCUCUGAACCAUACAGAAGGGGUCCGCCAAGGAGAUAUGGCGGUGGUGGUGGUGGUGGUGGAAGGUACAGGGGAAGGUCAUAUUCUAGGUCUCGUUCACGGUCAAGAUCUAGAGGUCGAAGAAGUCGUAGAUAUUCUAGGAGUAGGAGCAGGUCAUAUGACAGCAAAUCUCGCAGUCGGAGUAGAAGUCGUUCUAGAAGCAGGUCAAAGUCAAAUAGGUCAAGCAGAUCUCCAAGGUCGCAUUCAAGAACACCGGAAAAAAAUUCUCAAGAUAAUGCAGACUGAACCAGUAUUUUGAUAUAGGAUUAUCAUCCAGUAAACUAGAUGGUGCCUGCAAACGAGUGCGUUUUGGCUACAGUUUAAUAAAAGGAGCAGUAAUAGAAAGCUGGACUGCAGGCAGGGGGUAGCGUGUUUGAGUAGCAGCCCAUGCUGUUCGAUGCAGUAUCGCAGUACAUUAAAGGCAGUUCGUUGCUGUCCAGUUAGUUGGAACAUGCUGCAGUACGAAGUUUGCCUGUUUUGGUGUCCAGUUAAGCUGAAUGUGCUGCAGUUAGCUGUUAUUCCUGUAUUGCUGUCCAGUUUGUGAGAACGUUCUGCUGUAUUCAUACUUGUGUGUAGCACAGUCUUUGGCAGAACAGUACAUGCAGCAGUUUCCUGAUCUGUCCAUUUGAGAUGAUCAUAUCGUAGAUGUUUUAAGUGCAAUUGUUUUUUAUACCAAUUCUCAAAACAGUCUUUACAUACAAGGAAGCUCCAAUAUAAUUUGCCAGACCAUCUAUAACAAAAUGAAUAUUUAUAUUGUUACAUUUUAAUAAAAGUGUUAAAUGCCACAGAAUACUGAACUGAAAUUUAACUAUUAUAUUUAAAAGCUUCUGUUUUGCUUUAUAAUAAUUGACUAAAUUGAACUAGGUUGCUACAAUUGCAAUGAAUGUCACUUAAAUGGCUUCCAAAUGACUGUUUCUAUAUUUCCCCUUAAAGCUUGCCUUGUUACAAAAUUGAGGGUAAGCUUAUAGCUGGAUACAGAGAACAUCAAAUUUAACAUCUCUGAAACGUUAUGUCUGUGGUAUACUGCAGGACCAAGCUAGUUUUGAUUGACUUCAUUAGGGGCUGCUGUGUGUGGCGCAAAUAUCCUUCAAGCAACUUUUUGUGAAAUAAUGGCAAAAGUUCGUCUUGAAUCCUUGUAUGAAUUCAUCAUAAUAAAAAUUUAAUCUGGGCUAAUGGCCUGUGGCAGAUGAA